GUAAUUUCCCCCUCAUUAAAACCUAGAUCUGUAGCUUCUCUCCUCUCUCAGAAAAUUGCGCACUCUCCCCAUCACCACACCUUCCAGAUCCUUUCUCCCCCAUGACUUUGUCCUUUAUCACCACCACCAUCGUUUCUUUGCCUCUCGCCACUAUCAACCACCAACCACCGCCGCGCUGCCCCUCUUCUUUCCCCGACGUUGAGGUACGUCGCCGGCAAUCAUCAUGGAGAUCCGUUCGUCCUCACUCUCUAUCUAAAAUCUGGUAGUAUUCACCGGCGUUGGUAACAGAGACGUCGUCGUUGGUCAUCAUGGAGUCUGUGUGCAUUGUAUUAUGUUGAUGUUAAUCUGUUUUGAGUUCAAUAUGGUGUUGUGUUGGAGUUCAAUCUUUUCACUCUCAUUGAUGUGUUGUGCUACUGAUUUUGUUUUCUCUGAAUUUUGAUGGCUACGGGUAAAAAGUGAAAAAAUGUCUACAUGCUCUUCCAAUUUCAAAUGAGCACAAUUGAAAAGAUAGGAUGGGUCACUAUUUUGUUCUAGUUUUGCUGUUAGUGUUGUGUAUUGCUGUUUCGGUAGGAUUGUUUUCAGCUUUUGGGGGCUGCAUUCACUGUUGCUAUAUCUGUGAUUUUGCAGUGGUGGUUUUGUGCUCAGUUUUUUGCCUGGCACUGUGAGAGUUGGCCGCCGCAAUGCUGAGCUGUCGUGGCUUCGCUUUCUUGCUGCCGUGGCUUCGUUUUGCUGUGAAGUGUGUGUUUGCUCAGUUUUCUCAUGCCCUGUUAAUAAACUUGUCUAUAUCAAAGAAUAAAAAGGUCAAGUUAUAGAUUUUCUACCAAUUGCGUCUUCUUUAUAUGAAUUAUCCGAAACAGCACCAACUCGACAAGGUUGUAUAUGUUCAGAUAUAAUGAAGGAGAUGAGUAAUUAGAAAAUUGAGAAGCUGAAGGUCAAGUUAUCUGAUGAGAAGAAAAGAAUUGGGCAAUCAUUAUUUUUUGUUGUCAUGGAGAUUUUUGUUACUCGCGUACUUAGGUUUUAGUGGAAAAUUGAUGUUCUCAAGUGUAUUUGAUGUAUUUGUUACAAUUUUUUUUUAAGGGUUAAUUUGUUACACUUGUUGACCUAUUUUGUGGUUGUUUAGAACAAUUAUGCAAAAUUGAAGUUUAUUAA